rnacentral:snoRNA from 1 species
GCAUGAGUUUGGAUUUAGGGCAGGCCUGUCCCCGUAGGCCUCUCGGAGUGUCUCAUGCCGGAGCAAACUGGCCCGAACCACUGCCCAGCCUCUGUCCUGAGGCUACUGGCACACGACGGAAACAUCACUA